rnacentral:rRNA from 1 species
UCGUGGGGUGACUUGUUCUGCUUAAUUGCGAUAACGAACGAGACCUUAACCUGCUAAAUAGCCCGUAUUGCUUUGGCAGUACGCUGGCUUCUUAGAGGGACUAUCGGCUCAAGCCGAUGGAAGUUUGAGGCAAUAACA